rnacentral:rRNA from 1 species
GACCUCAGGACGAACGCUGGCGGCGUGCUUAACACAUGCAAGUCGAACGGUGAUCUUCGGAGCUUGCUCCGGGGUGAUCAGUGGCGAACGGGUGAGUAACACGUGAGUAACCUGCCCCUGACUCUGGGAUAACUUCGGGAAACCGUGGCUAAUACCGGAUAUGACACGGAGACGCAUGUCUAUCGUGUGGAAAGUUUUUCGGUCUGGGAUGGACUCGCGGCCUAUCAGCUUGUUGGUGAGGUAAUGGCUCACCAAGGCGACGACGGGUAGCCGGCCUGAGAGGGCGAUCGGCCACACUGGGACUGAGACACGGCCCAGACUCCUACGGGAGGCAGCAGUGGGGAAUAUUGCACAAUGGGCGCAAGCCUGAUGCAGCGACGCCGCGUGAGGGACGACGGCCUUUGGGUUGUAAACCUCUUUCAGCAGGGAAGAAGCGCAAGUGACGGUACCUGCAGAAGAAGCACCGGCUAACUACGUGCCAGCAGCCGCGGUAAUAACCUAAAUAGC